AUUGAACGCUGGCGGCGUGCUUAACACAUGCAAGUCGAUCGGUAACGCGGGGGCAACCCUGGCGACGAGAGGCGGACGGGUGAGGAACGCUUGGGAAUCUGCCCUUCAGCGGGGGACAACACGGGGAAACUCGUGCUAAUACCGCAUACGCUCCACGGAGGAAAGCCGGGGACCGCAAGGCCUGGCACUGAAGGAUGAGCCCAAGUCGGAUUAGCUCGUUGGCGGGGUAACGGCCCACCAAGGCGACGAUCCGUAGCUGGCCUGAGAGGACGAUCAGCCACACUGGGACUGAGACACGGCCCAGACUCCUACGGGAGGCAGCAGUGGGGAAUAUUGGACAAUGGGGGAAACCCUGAUCCAGCGACGCCGCGUGGGUGAAGAAGGCCUGCGGGUUGUAAAGCCCUUUCGGUAGGGACGAAAGCUCUCGACCUAACACGUCGGGAGGUUGACUUAACCUACAAAAGAAGCACCGGCUAACUACGUGCCAGCCGCCGCAGUAAUAC
rnacentral:rRNA from 1 species